rnacentral:rRNA from 1 species
AGUGAACGCUGGCGGUAGGCCUAACACAUGCAAGUCGAACGGCAGCACAGGAGAGCUUGCUCUCUGGGUGGCGAGCGGCGGACGGGUGAGGAAUACAUCGGAAUCUACUCUGUCGUGAGGGAUAACGUAGGGAAACUUACGCUAAUACCGCAUACGACCUACGGGUGAAAGCAGGGGACCUUCGGGCCUUGCGCGAUUGAAUGAGCCGAUGUCGGAUUAGCUAGUUGGCGGGGUAAAGGCCCACCAAGGCGACGAUCCGUAGCUGGUCUGAGAGGAUGAUCAGCCACACUGGAACUGAGACACGGUCCAGACUCCUACGGGAGGCAGCAGUGGGGAAUAAUGGACAAUGGGCGCAAGCCUGAUCCAGCCAUACCGCGUGGGUGAAGAAGGCCUUCAGGUUGUAAAGCCCUUUUGUUGGGAAAGAAAUCCAGCUGGCUAAUACCCGGUUGGGAUGACGGUACCCAAAGAAUAAGCACCGGCUAACUUCGUGCCAGCCGCCGCGGUAA